rnacentral:tRNA from 1 species
AGAGCGCCGGUCUUGUAAACCGGACGUCGGAGGUUAAAAUCCUCCCUUUUGCU